rnacentral:lncRNA from 1 species
GGCUACCUGGAAGGUGCCGGGGCCGCGCCCCGGGGAUCCAGGGGGCGCCCUCGGUCUGUGGCUCGGGUCCCCCACGCCGGGCACGGGGAGGGGCGGGGCAGGGAACUGGGGCUGGAGCCACUGCGGGUUCUUGAAGGAGAAGGGGCGGGGGAGGCGGGCCGGCCCCGCCCCGGGCGGCGGGCACGGACAGCUCCCGCCUCCCUGGCUCGCUCGGUGCCUCCCCUCGGGAGUGGGAGCCCAGUCUCCAGGGCAGCGGCGGCGGCGGCGGCAGCGCCGGCCCCCUUCCUUCCUCCCUCCCGGCCGUCCCGUCCCCUCCGGGCCGCCGCCGUCCAGCGUCCCGCGCUCCCGGGCCGGCCCCAUGGCGUCCUCGGCCGGUUCCCCCCCGCAGGCGGAGCGGCGGCGCUGGGGGUGGGGCCGUCGGGCCAGCGGGUCCCUGGGGCUCAGCCUCAGCCCCAAGGCCGCCUUCCCGUCGGAGCUGGCCGAGGUGAGCCCGGCGGCCGGAGCGUUCUACGCGCCCAUCCCCGCGCCGGGGCCCGGCCCUCCCCCUGCCGCCGCGCCGGGGGCCCGGGGGCCCCCGGCCCCGCUGUCGCCGUCGCCCUCGCCGCCCCCCACUGUGAGCCUGGACCCGCGCAUGUCCAUCUACAGCAUGUGGCGCCCGCUGCUCACCCGCACCCACGUCCAGGGGCGCGUCUACAACUUCCUCGAGAGACCCACGGGCUGGAAGUGCUUCCUCUACCACUUCACGGUCUUCCUCAUUGUUCUGAUCUGCCUCAUCUUCAGCGUGCUCUCCACCAUCGAGCAGUACGUGGCCCUGGCCACCGGGACCCUCUUCUGGAUGGUACGUACCUGCGAGAGGGGCUCCCCCCUCCCUCCUGGGCCGGUGCCCCUGCCCACAUCCGCAGCCCCUGCCCUUCACACGCACUCCCAGCAACCUCUGGGGCAGCGCUUCCCUCCUGCCCACCCCCCCCCCCCGUGACUCCCGGGACUGGCCCCGUGGUGGUCAGCGGGGGGUCUCGGCCGGGUCUGUGCCAGGAGGACAGCUGCGGGGGAGCAGAGGUCAGGAGGCUGCCAGGCUUGGGCACAAACCGGGGGCCCCUCCUUAAAGCUGAGGCUCUCGGAGCUCUCGGAGAGAAGGUUCUGGGCCCCCCUGCCCCGCUGGCCAGCGCCCCUCCCCCUCUCCUGCCUAUGCCAGGGGCAAGUCCCAGCAUCACCUCUGCCCAAGCCCGUGGGCCCGGGCCAGGAAGUCAGGUCUGGGGGGGGCUGAGCCCUCCUGCGGAGGCCGCCCCCUCUGGGCCAUUUCCCUGGUUUAUGUGUUUUUGGAACUGAGUCUAGGGGGGCUUUGUGGGGAAAGCUGGAGCUUCCAAGGUGGGGCUCUGGGGGGCUGUGGGUGCUGGGACCUCCGAGGUGGGACAUGGGAGUGUGGGGGCUGUGGGUGCCGGGAUCCCCCUGAGGCAGGCUGAGAGUGCUGGGACCUCCUGAAGUGGGAUGUGAGGCCGU